rnacentral:misc_RNA from 1 species
AUCAUUUACCAAGUGCAGUGUAGAGGAAUUGGAUCUAACAAAAGUCUCUCCGAGGAAGCUCGUCGCUGCGUUUUGGAAGAAUAAUCGUCGACAUAACGUCCUUAUCCCAAAGAGUGUACAACGAUUUUUUUUUUUUCUUUUCUUUUCCGUGUGCCUCUUGGUCUCUUGAAGGAAGUUAAGGAUCAAGUUAAAAGUGCUAGCGUUGCUUAUGGUAUAUGAAGGGAUCUUCAUAUAUCAGAAGAAAUGCAAGUAAAUCAAAAUGUGAGUAUACAGUGUGGAGACACAGUGCCACAGUGAAUUUCGAAUAUCAAAAUAUCAGAAAGUAAUCACUCCCUGGAGGAACUUGUCUGAGUGACCAAGAGUAAGAAGAUGUCCAGCUGAUGUCGAGUGAUAGUUGAUUUCGUCUGUAGUAUGCCUUUAACAUAUACCUUUAUGAAAGUCCAUUUUGGUUCUCAAAUGCUUCUUCUUCAAUUUCACAGAAUACCACAAUUGUUCAUGUACAUCUUAUUAAAGUUUCCCGUCUAAGUGAAAUCACCCAGAGUGCUGAAGAUUCUUCAUGUUUUUGCAUGGAACAAAACACACCACUCAGUCCAUCAGUCGUAAAAAGUCCGUAAAAACAAUAAACCAAGAACCCCAUUUACAAAAAAAAUCAAGAGACAAAACACGGGAAACCACCACUACUUCUUAUAACGUAUCUAAUCGUCUGCCUUUCCCCCCGCUAUUACGCUAUCAUCAACAGAAACCCGCGAAGGAUCUCCAACAGGGUGGCGAUGCGAUGGAGGAUGCGCCGGCGAAGAGCAUCCAUUGCCGCCUGGCCACGGGCUUGAGGACCGCCCUCAGACUCAUGACGGUGGAGCCCGUUGUGUUCAUCGACGGGGCGUGCUACUGGUCCAUGACGGUGUUCAUGGAAGUCGUCCAGAUGGAGAAAAUAUGUGCGAGUAAUCUCGGGUUUUCACACGAGGUGUGCUCCAACCUCUCUGCUCACACCGAGGAGAGCCUCCAAGUUCAAAAACAGUUCAGCAUCUUCGCUUUUUACAACAGCAUCUUCUUUUCGGUUUUCCCUCUUAUAUUCGUGCUUUUCAUGGGUGCUUGGAGUGACAAAUACGGGCGGAAAAUCCCUCUCCUGAUCACCCUGGGCUGCCACGUCCUCUGGUCGGGCGGCUACCUGCUCAACACGUGGCAGACGGCGUGGCCGGUCGAGAUAAUCUACUUCGUGACGUUCCUUGGCUCCGUCGGCGGAGGUCCUCAGGGCCUGCUGUCCUCCGCCAUCGCCUACAUCAGCGACGUGACCUCCGUCAAGACCCGUACGGGCCGCGUGAGCAACACGGUGUCGUCGUGGUACCUGGGAGGUCCCCUUGGGCAUGCUGGUGGGCGCCGUGGCCAUCCAGAACGUGGGCGUGGAGCUGGCCCUCGCGCUCGUCUUCACGGCCUACGUCAGCAUCUUCACCUACGUCUUCUUCUGCAUCAAGGAGAGCCACGGGCCGUUCGCGCAGAUAAAGGGCGUCGAGGAGUCCCCCAUCAAGAAGGAGGACGUGACGAGACUCCGCAUGCUCUCCGACCUGUUCAACUGGCGCCGCGUCCUCGAGUCCUUCAAGACGGCGCUGAGGAAACGCGAGGGCAGCGCCAGAGUCAUCCUCAUCGCGCUCAUCAUCAGCAACAUGGUCCGCCGCGCAGCUAGAGGGUUCUACAUGUACAGUUUCGUCCGUCGAGCUCUGUACUGGGACGCUACUGACUUCUCUUACUGGUCCUCAUACCGCAGUCUUGUCGCCGCCGUUGGGUCGCUCGUUCUGGUCCCUUUGCUCACUCGUCUCAUCUCCGUCUC